GACGAACGCUGGCGGCGUGCUUAACACAUGCAAGUCGAACGCGUGGCGCACGGGUGAGUAAUACGUGAGUAACCUUCCCUCUUUUUGGGAUAAGCCUUGGCAACGGGGUCUAAUACCGGCAUAAGGGGGUUGGGCUCGGGGCCUUUCAGCUUGUUGGUGGGGUGAGGGGCUCCCAAGGCGGUGACGGGUAGCCGGCCUGAGAGGGUGACAGGCAACAUUGGGACGGAGCAACGGCCCAGACUCCUACGGGAGGCAGAAGUGGGGGAUAGGGCACAAUGGGCGAAAGCGUGAUGCAGCGAGGACGCGUGGGGGAUGAAGGCUUUCAGGUUGUAAACGUCUGUAGCUAUCGAGCGGGUAGGUGGAGAAGAAGCGCCGGCUAACUACGUGCCAGCAGCCGCGGUAAUUC
rnacentral:rRNA from 1 species